GCCUGGGUGGCUCAGUGGUUGAGCAUCUGCUUUCAGCUCAGGUUAUUACCCCAGGGUCCUGAGAUCGAGUCCCGCUCAGGCU
rnacentral:tRNA from 1 species